GAGGGUAUAGCUCAGUGGUAGAGUAAGUGUCUCCCAUGCACAAGGUCCUGGGUUCAAUCCCCAGUACCUUAA